rnacentral:rRNA from 1 species
GAUGAACGCUGGCGGCGUGCCUAAUACAUGCAAGUCGAGCGAACGGACGAGAAGCUUGCUUUUCUGAUGUUAGCGGCGGACGGGUGAGUAACACGUGGAUAACCUACCUAUAAGACUGGGAUAACUUCGGGAAACCGGAGCUAAUACCGGAUAAUAUUUUGAACCGCAUGGUUCAAAAGUGAAAGACGGUCUUGCUGUCACUUAUAGAUGGAUCCGCGCUGCAUUAGCUAGUUGGUAAGGUAACGGCUUACCAAGGCAACGAUGCAUAGCCGACCUGAGAGGAUGAUCGGCCACACUGGAACUGAGACACGGUCCAGACUCCUACGGGAGGCAGCAGUAGGGAAUCUUGCGCAAUGGGCGAAAGCCUGACGGAGCAACGCCGCGUGAGUGAUGAAGGUCUUCGGAUCGUAAAACUCUGUUAUUAGGGAAGAACAUAUGUGUAAGUAACUGUGCACAUCUUGACGGUACCUAAUCAGAAAGCCACGGCUAACUACGUG